AUUAAAAUUUAUGACUUAUUCUAAAGUAAGAGGUAUUUUAAAUUAAAAAAAUUUUGAUAAUCUUUUAGAGGUUAUUUCAUUUGUAAACUGUAACCGUUGAAGCUCGUAAACAACAUAUAUUUCUUUGAAUAUGGUUCACUCAUUCCCACUGAAGUUAUAUGCAUGCAUGAGGUAUGUUGAAACAUGUUGUUAACAAAAAGGAAAAGGGACCAAAGUGAAACUCAAGAAAAGGAAGAACCAAGUAAAAUUAGUCCAUCCAUUGUUUUACCCAUACGUCAAACUGCAUCUAUCUUCAAACAGUCUGUGACAAUAAUUAAGAAUCAAGAGUCAAAAAUUCGUACAGAUAUUACUCAUGGCACUCAAGAAAAACCAAAACAAGUUUUCUGGGAGAAAAGACUGCAAGGAAUUAAUGCCUGUGAUAAAAAAGGAGAAGUCAUUGAAACUUUUGAACUUCCUUCAAAAAUCAAAGCUGUUGGAUUACAACUAGGAGAUGAAACUAUACUGAGGAGUAUUGUAACAGCAUUACACAUAAAUGGUCACCCAAUUACAGGACAGAACAAGCCAAAAGCACUACUAGACAAGAGUCCUGGAGUUUAUAUUAAUCCUACACAGCCUUUAGUAUUGGGUCUCCACGUUACAGAUGAAGAUAUCGAAUUGCAAGAAAAAAAAGUUUUGGAAGCUAGAGAACGCUUAAAAGAAGCUCUUAAUGAAUGAACGAUGCAUCAUGGAAUGCUGCACUAUUUUCAUUAAGAACUCCCAAGAAGCUGAGCAACAAGUUCAUGAAUGGUGAUCGUCCUGUUUUGAAGCACUUCACGGUGAACCAUCUCGAUAAUCGCCUCCAAAACUGAUGGUCUUCCACUCCGUUCUUCGUCGUGAAUGUCCUUCUAACUGGCACUAAACUCCCUGCACCACUUUUGGAUGUGUUGAACGGACAAAUACUUUUUGCCAUACACCUCUGUCAACUGAUGCUGAAUAUCCACGGGUGAAAUCUCAUCGGCAUGCAAAAAGUGGAUUGCGAACAAAUCUCUCAUUUCCCUCCAAAUGAGAGAACAGUGGGCACCUCCAUCUUGGAUAGUUCCAGAGCCAAGACUAAGCAGUGCAGCAAAAUGUGGCUGGGUGGAAUCAAGAGUGGGGGAACAGCUGCGCACAGUGGUGUUGUCAGAUUUUGCCUUGCACCUUCCCGUGUGGCUGGAGCUCUUUGAGAACCUUAUUUCUGGAUCGACCUUAUUUUGGUGAUUUAGGAAGGUUCUGCUACAAUGCUGAUAUGCAGAUGGCUUGAAUGAAGAACUCAUAUCACAUACAUGCAGAUUGCAUAAUUAAAGCACUCUGUAAAUAUUUUCAUAUGCAGUUGACAAGUACAAAUAACUUUUUUAUGAUCAUUUACAUUCAAUGAUUAAAAUAUGUAUUGUUUGAAAGUGAUGUCGAAUAUUAAAACUAGUAAUAGAAAAUAUUUGUAUAAAAAUUUUCCUACAACAACCAGUAUCUUCCAGUUCCCAUGCUUAUCUUGAAGGGGCAGUUGUUGUAUACAUUAAGAUUUUCAUUAAGUUUAUUUGAGAAAGUUAUGUAAAUUUUGGGGACAACAAUCAUCUAAAAUAGUGUGAUUUUAUGUACCUCAAAUAAUAGGAAAACCUGGAUGAAGCCAAUGACCAGAGCCAUUUUUAAUAAAACAGUCAAUGUUUUAUAUGGUACAAUUACACUUUUAAGUUUCUUUUAUACUUUAUUGAAUUCAAUACUAUAUAAAAACAAAGCAUCUUUACUGUAGUACAGUAGUUAUUAUGCUAAUUAACUUUUGUAGUACAUGAGUUAUUUUACUACUACUCAUAUGAUAGUUCUAAGGAUAAAAUUCAUGUAUAUUAUUGUUCUUACAUUUUAAUAUGAAUAGUCAGUUUCAUAUUGAAAUUUAAAAUAAAAUGAAUAAAGGAAACAAAAAUUAA